GCUCCUGUUCCUGCAGAUAAAUGGGCAGGCCAAGCUCAGUACACCCAGAGCCCUCCACAUGCUGACUGGAGGCCUUCACUGACACUCCUGGAGAGGCCUGUGUGAAAGAAACUGUCUGGCAAAAAACCCACUCGUGUACAUCUGGCUCCUGAAAGGACUCCUUUAAAUCCUUUGAUGAGGAUCAUCAAAACAUGCAGAAGGCUGGUCCUUUUCAAUUCUCGUGCAGAGCAGCCAUGAUGGACUUCAAACAGGAAUAUGGUACCACCCCUGCCUUCAAGGAGCCCACGCUUUCCCUUCAACUCUAAAAAAGGAAAACACACUCUGGCCAUGGAAGAAGACAAUGGAAUGACAUGCUUAAGCCUCAAAUAUAAAAGUGAAAGAAGAGAUCACAUGGUCGCAGGAAAAAAAAAAAGGACUCAAUACUUUAAACAACUAGUUUUAACUACAGUGACUACCUAUCUUGGAGUUUCCAGGAAAGCAUCAAUAUCAAAUAUUCUGUCAGUAUGUAAGCUCAUAUUUGAGGGGAAGUCACCUUGAUCUUGGACCAGAAAACAGCAUUAUAGAUAUAUCCCACUAAGAAGGAGAAACAUCAGCCCUCUACUUUCCUUUGCCCUGCCCACUCCUGGAGAGUGGGAGGCACAGAUCUUCUUUAGGACAAGGUUCUUCCUCCCACACCUCAGUGGAAGGCUCAGCUUUGUUUGCACAGAAUGCAGCAGAAGUGGAAUUCCAGGACUUCUGAGCCUGGGCAUUAAGGGGACUGACGGCUUCCACUUCCCUGGCUCUUGGAAAUCAGUCACCAUGCUUUGAGAAGCCCAAGCCAGGCGGAGAAGCCAUACAGAAGACAACCGAGGCAUGCCAGGUGAAAGACCCGGGUAAUCUCCCAGUCAAAGGUCGGCACCAACUGCCAUCUCUGCGAGUGAGCCAUCUUGAAGGUUCUAGCUGAGUCUCACCCCAAAUAACGUGGAGCCUCAGCCAUCACCCGAUGGAGCAAAAGAACCACACAGCUGAGGUCAGUUGACCCACAGAUGUGUGAGAAAUAAUA